UACGGAGGGUGCAAGCGUUAUCCGGAAUCAUUGGGUUUAAAGGGUCCGUAGGCGGUUUUGUAAGUCAGUGGUGAAAGCCCAUCGCUCAACGGUGGAACGGCCAUUGAUACUGCAAGACUUGAAUUACUAGGAAGUAACUAGAAUAUGUAGUGUAGCGGUGAAAUGCUUAGAUAUUACAUGGAAUACCAAUUGCGAAGGCAGGUUACUACUAGUGGAUUGACGCUGAUGGACGAAAGCGUGGGGAGCGAACAGG
rnacentral:rRNA from 1 species